rnacentral:rRNA from 1 species
AUGGUGAAGAAUUGGUGGAGCGCCAACGCUUCCAACAGGACACAAUCUCGACGAUCGCUUACCUGCCUUAUGCUGCUCGUCUCAUGGGAAAUUUGGAAAGAGCGGAAUGUUAGGGUAUUUUGUAAUGUCGCAGUGCCUGUUGGGGUUUUGGUAGCUAAAAUCAAAGACGAGAUGGCGCUAUGGUGUCUGGCCGGUGCGAAACAUUUGUGUAAUAUCAUGCCGCGAGAGUGA